rnacentral:rRNA from 1 species
GAACGUACGCUGGCGGCACGCCUAACACAUGCAAGUCGAACGAAGUAGCAAUACUUAGUGGCAGACGGGUGAGUAACAUGUAGGUAUCUGCCCUUUGGCCUGGAAUAACACGAGGAAACUUGUGCUAAUACCGGAUAAGUCUUUACAGAGAAAGCUUUAUGCACCAUUGGAUGAGCCUGCACUUGAUUAGUUUGUUGGUGGGGUAAUGGCCUACCAAGACUGUGAUCAAUAGCUGAUUUGAGAGGAUGAUCAGCCACAUUGGGACUGAGACACGGCCCAAACUCCUACGGGAGGCAGCAGUGGGGAAUCUUGCACAAUGGAGGAAACUCUGAUGCAGCGAUGCCGCGUGAGUGAAGAAGGCCUUUGGGUUGUAAAGCUCUUUCGUCGGGGAAGAAAAUGACUGUACCCGAAUAAGAAGGUCCGGCUAACUUCGUGCCAGCAGCCGCGGUAAUACGAAGGGACCUAGCGUAGUUCGGAAUUACUGGGCUUAAAGAGUUCGUAGGUGGUUGAAAAAGUUAGUGGUGAAAUCCCAGAGCUUAACUCUGGAACUGCCAUUAAAACUUUUUAGCUAGAGUAUGAUAGAGGAAAGCAGAAUUUCUAGUGUAGAGGUGAAAUUCGUAGAUAUUAGAAAGAAUACCAAUUGCGAAGGCAGCUUUCUGGAUCAUUACUGACACUGAGGAACGAAAGCAUGGGUAGCGAAGAGGAUUAGAUACCCUCGUAGUCCAUGCCGUAAACGAUGUGUGUUAGACGUUGGAAAUUUAUUUUCAGUGUCGCAGCGAAAGCGAUAAACACACCGCCUGGGGAGUACGACCGCAAGGUUAAAACUCAAAUGAAUUGACGGGGACCCGCACAAGUAGUGGAGCAUGUGGUUUAAUUCGAAGAUACGCGCAGAACCUUACCAACACUUGACAUGUUCGUCGCGACUCUAAGAGAUUAGAGUUUUCGGUUCGGCCGGACGAAACACAGGUGCUGCAUGGCUGUCGUCAGCUCGUGUCGUGAGAUGUUGGGUUAAGUCCCGCAACGAGCGCAACCCUCACUUUUAGUUGCCAUCAUUAAGUUGGGCACUCUGAAAGAACUGCCAGUGAUAAGCUGGAGGAAGGUGGGGAUGACGUCAAGUCCUCAUGGCCCUUACGUGUUGGGCUACACACGUGCUACAAUGGUAUCUACAACAGGAAGCAAGACUGCGAAGUUAAGCAAAUCCCUAAAAGAUACCUCAGUUCGGAUUGCACUCUGCAACUCGAGUGCAUGAAGCUGGAAUUACUAGUAAUCGUGGAUCAGCGUGCCACGGUGAAUGCGUUCCCGGGUCUUGUACACACCGC